rnacentral:lncRNA from 1 species
AGCGUGUCCAUCUCCCUGCUUUGAAGAAGGAUGUUGGGAACUGACUGUAAGGAAGACAGGAUUGGAGAACCAGGUUUAGAAGAGAAAAGGCAGUACCAGAAGUUUUUGAUUGGAGAAAACUACAGGGCAAUGUUGCACAAGAACCAUUGCUGUGUCUCAGGACUGCAUCAUUGCUUACCCAACAUGACUCAGCCUCGGUAUUGCCACUGACUCACGGAGCUCCUAAUAGAGGAGAAUUAGUGUCACAGAUUGACUGGAAAACCAAUCCACAUGAAGCCAGGAAGAGAAAUGAAGCUGCUGUUGCUGAAUCCAUAGCUGGCCUUAAUGAUGCUGGCUAGGAAAGACGGCCCAUUCUGGGAGAGAUAAGUCAAUUUUGCAGUGUCUGUUAUUAUCAUAGUGACUAUUGUCCUCCUGUUUUAUAUUUAUUUACCUAAAUUGUUUUGGAAAGACUCAGAGGUAUAGAGACAUGCCUACUUUUUGCAAAAAUCAUCACACUGUCAUGGAGGUAGUCCAGGCUAUGGGGCUCUUAUUUGUUGGUGUCUUGGGCAAGUUGCUUGACCUCUGAUCAUUGUUUGCUUAUUCUUAUAUCGCCCCUGUAUUUCAGACUCACUCUGUGUCAGGCAUUUGUUUACCUUUGUAGCAAGCUCAGGAGGAAAAUACCAUUGCCCUUGUUUUACAGGUGAUGAAACUGUACGUUUUCCAAGGACACAGUGCUAGUAAGUAAUGAAUGUGAAAUUUUAACUGUUUCGAUCUCUUCUCAGAGCCAGUGCUAACUACUCUCCU